UACGUAGGGGGCGAGCGUUGUCCGAAGUUACUGGGCGUAAAGCGCGCGUAGGCGGGGGAUUAAGUGAGAGGUGAAAGGCUGGGGCUCAACCCCAUGCAGUGCCUCUCAUACUGUUCUUCUUGAGGGCGGUAGGGAGAAGUGGAAUGGCUGGUGUAGCGGUGAAAUGCGUAGAUAUCAGUCGGAACACCGGUGGCGAAGGCGGCUUCUUGGGCCGUUCCUGACGCUGAGGCGCGAAAGCUGGGGGAGCGAACGGG
rnacentral:rRNA from 1 species